rnacentral:rRNA from 1 species
GACGAACGCUGGCGGCGUGCUUAACACAUGCAAGUCGAACGGUAAGGCCCUUCGGGGUACACGAGUGGCGAACGGGUGAGUGACACGUGGGUGAUCUGCCCUGCACUUCGGGACAAGCCUGGGAAACUGGGUCUAAUACCGGAUAGGACCACUGCCUGCAUGGGUGGUGGUGGAAAGCUUUUGCGGUGUGGGAUGGGCCCGCGGCCUAUCAGCUUGUUGGUGGGGUGAUGGCCUACCAAGGCGACGACGGGUAGCCGGCCUGAGAGGGUGACCGGCCACACUGGGACUGAGAGACGGCCCAGACUCCUACGGGAGGCAGCAGUGGGGAAUAUUGCACAAUGGGCGCAAGCCUGAUGCAGCGACGCCGCGUGAGGGAUGACGGCCUUCGGGUUGUAAACCUCUUUCAGCACCGACGAAGCGCAAGUGACGGUAGGUGCAGAAGAAGGACCGGCCAACUACGUGCCAGCCGCCGCCGUAA